GCCCGGAUAGCUCAGUCGGUAGAGCAGGGGACUGAAAAUCCCCGUGUCGGCGGUUCAAUUCCGUCUCCGGGCA
rnacentral:tRNA from 1 species